UACAGAGGGUGCGAGCGUUAAUCGGAAUUACUGGGCGUAAAGCGCACGUAGGUGGCGACGUAAGUCGGGUGUGAAAUCCCCGGGCUCAACCCGGGAACUGCGUCCGAUACUGGAAGGCUUGAAUCCGGGAGAGGGAUGCGGAAUUCCAGGUGUAGCGGUGAAAUGCGUAGAUAUCUGGAGGAACACCGGUGGCGAAGGCGGCAUCCUGGACCGGCAUUGACGCUGAGGCGCGAAAGCUAGGGGAGCAAACGGG
rnacentral:rRNA from 1 species